GACGAACGCUGGCGGCGUGGAUAAGGCAUGCAAGUCGAACGGUAGCACGGGUGCUUGCACCUGGUGGCGAGUGGCGAACGGGUGAGUAAUACAUCGGAACGUACCCAGUUAUGGGGGAUAACUAACCGAAAGGUUAGCUAAUACCGCAUACGCCCUGAGGGGGAAAGCGGGGGACCGUAAGGCCUCGCGUAAUUGGAGCGGCCGAUGUCUGAUUAGCUAGUUGGUGAGGUAAAGGCUCACCAAGGCGACGAUCAGUAGCAGGUCUGAGAGGAUGAUCUGCCACACUGGAACUGAGACACGGUCCAGACUCCUACGGGAGGCAGCAGUGGGGAAUUUUGGACAAUGGGCGCAAGCCUGAUCCAGCAAUGCCGCGUGCAGGAUGAAGGCCUUCGGGUUGUAAACUGCUUUUGUACGGAACGAAACGGCGAGCUCUAAUACAGUUUGCUAAUGACGGUGCCGUAAGAAUAAGCACCGGCUAACUACGUGCCAGCAGCCGCCGUAA
rnacentral:rRNA from 1 species